ACUCCACCAGGCCAUCUUUUAGGGCCAGUCUUCCAGGCUUCCAGUUUGAAGGCCAAAGCAGAAUGACCAGAGGGAGAGGAGGAGGCUGCUGGUUGAGGCAGGGCCUGUCUGCAGGGACCAGGAGGCCUUGGUCCUGCCUGUCAAACCCCCAGGACGCUCUGGAAUCCAGAGCCAGCAGAAGUCCUCAGGGGCUCACUCCUGGGGACUGUUUUAUCUGAAGCCAGGCACUCCAGACGACAACACAGUCUUUAGUGGUGAAACAGAAAGCGGCUCCAGCAGCAAGCAACACACCCAGCGUUCCAGCGAGCUGUGUGAAGCGCUAACAAGAGGCUGGCCUGGCAUCCUGGCCAGAGGGACUGCAGAGGCAGCCCAGGCCAGGACGGUGCCCUGCACCACCUCCAUCAGAACCCCCAGAGCUUGCUCAACAGCAGACCGACACCCAGGCGGCACCCCAGACCUUCAGAAUCUCCUAAAGAGAUCCUGAGGCCCAGAUUUACCUGAGGACACACAGCAAGCUAGUGAUGGCCAGGACUAACCCUGCUCUGCUGCCUUUAACCAAUAUUUAAAGUCAGGCCAUAUACAUCCCAAUGGCCCCAAGCCCAUGAGUCCUGAAGACACUUUACCGCUUUUCAGCACCUCUUAGGUGAGUAACAUAACAUAUACCCGCUCUGCAGUGUCUGGUAAGUGUCCAGAGAAGGCCCUACCCAAACAUGCCUCUCAACA
rnacentral:lncRNA from 1 species